rnacentral:tRNA from 1 species
GGCCUGAUGGUCUAGUAGUAUGAUUCCUUGUUAGGGAAAAGCGCUUGCCUAUUCUGGACUCGAGGAGGUCCCGGGUUCAAUUCCCGGUCAGGCCC